CUAAAGACCUUUAAACGGGUCAAGGUAACGGAUUCACCAAGAGUUCGAUAAUAUAUAAAAGCGAUGGAAAUCGCUAAGUUAACUAAACUAGUAGAAAUAACGGAAUUACGUUAUUUCAAAUUACAUUAUGUCGUAUGAGGUACGUAGAGGUUCUGUAACCAAAAAGAUAUUACCAAAAUUUUUCUGGUAAUACUAACAAUUGGUUAAAAUAUGAAUAAUGCUUAAGAGAUUACUCAGGUCAAACGCAUUGAGUUUAGAACUCAAUGAACUAUGUAAGCAAGGUUUCGAGGACGAAACCUCUUUAAGGGGGGUAGACUUGUAACACCCCGAAAACGGGCUUGGUAAUUAAACUCUGUUAAUACUAAAAGACGGGUAACGUACCGUUAUUAGUAAAAAUAACCCGGCAAAUAUUUGGAUUUAAAUAAGAAAUCCUAAUAUUAAAUAAAAACGAAUCAAAGUUUUAAGUAAUUAAGUUUAUAAAAGGCCCGAUUUAACGGGACUUAAAGUAAAAGGGGUUACGACUUCCCGAACCUACUAAGCUAACUAGGAAUAAUUCUAACCUAGUUAGAUAGUGACUUAUGAGUGGGUUAAAACACUUAAAUUAUGAACUAAGGAAAAUGAAGGGGCCAAAGAUGUUAAAAUCGAAACUUAUGUUGCUAAUUUAAUUAAAACAAAAACCAAACACCCCAUUUGGGGAUGUCUGGUCGUACAAAGAAGCAGGAGGCGAUGGGUUUCUUCAAACCCUAAAAUCCUUACUAAAACUCUCAAAUUGGAGGUGCAAAUCUGGUCCAAAACGAAAAUCGAGCAUAGAUUACUGAUCCCCAUUGCAAGGGGGUUGUAAGAUGGAGGCUUGGAAUGAAGCGGGUCAAACGGAGCAAGUACGAAAAGGAAAGCGUAAUUUGGAUGCGAGUCUUAGGUACUCAAGGAUUAUGGGUGACGAUCAAGCAACUUUUGAAGGACCGAACACAUACUCUUGAAGCUUCCGCAUAAAUCAACUCGGUUUAAACAAUGUUUAUGAUGUAAACUGUUUGCUAAACAACUUUUGAAAUGUUUAAACGACGUACUCAAUUAUGUUAUGUUGUAUUAUUUUAAAAUUGUAAAGUUUAAACAAACCCGUAUUUUUACAAAGUAUAUGUAGUCAUAAUUACAUGUUGUUUGUCGUA